UGUACCCAAAAGACACUCACCGUCUACUCAGUGGUCCAUGCAUGCCACCCCCCCCCCUACUGUGAUGCCCUUUGCCACAGGUGGACAUCAUGAGGAUCCUUUGCAGCACAGAUGAGGGUAGAACCAAGUGUAUAAAGCUGGCAUACCACGCCCUGGAUGCUCUUCAGGGGCAGGACUUAGACGCAGAGCCUCUGGGCCGCUAGGCUGGGGACUGGGUGGGACCGUGUCAGCUCCUGGUGCCCUUUACUGCCCAAAAUUCUGGUCACAACCCAGAAAGCCAAUAAGGAGGCACAGAGGGAGGAGGAAGACUUGACCCUGAAGCUAGUGGAAAAGGCUGAAUCGGUAGAAAGAAAUGUGGCUGCAGAGACGUCAACCAGGGUAAGUAGUAUAGGGUUUAUAGCUGUAGUCCUAUCCAGCGCCAUGGUAAUAAAUCUGUCCUCGAGCUCACGGUUUCCAGGGUCCUCCCCGUGGCAGGUGGGGAGGACCAGCAUUUGAGGCAAAGCUGCAGAUUCUCUGAUGAGCCUCUUUCUAGGGGGACUCCCAGCUGAAGUGGAGGCCGAGGGCUGCUUUGGCUUUUAAGGCCCAGUUGUUAUCUGGCUGGCAAUGCUUGGUAAUGAGAAAAGAAGAAACAAUUAAUUGAAAGUGGAUUUUAAUUGUCUCUGGCUUCUUGUUUGUAGGCUAUUAAAAUGAGUUUCUUAUUAAGCUAUCACAUCAGGCUGCCUGGCUGCAGGAUGGCCCCAUAAUGCCCUUCACUCCCAUUCUGGCCUCUGAUUCACUCCCGUCUGCCUUGGCGAAAAUCAAGUGCUUGGAUUUUAGUAGAAUACAACAAAAGGGAAAAAUAGGAAAAAAACAAAAAACAAAAAAACAAAAAACAACAAAAAAAAAAACCAUAAAAAAAAAAACCCAUCUUGAUGUCAACAUCUUUGAUUUAAAAAAAACAACAACUAAAGCUCACAUGCCUUUUAUUAAUAAUUCUUUGGCCUUCCAUUUAUAAACACAUCUGCAAUCCCAGAGGAGGGCUGGUCAGAAAGGAACACAAAUGGAUCUGGGCGUUGUUGCCAACUGGUUACUGAGUCCCUGCAUCAGAGGCUCAAGGUAGAAAUGGACAGGGCAGAGAAAGAAGGUGGUAUAGGCGUGGAAAAGGACAGCUAGGCCAUCAUGUGCCCCUCUCCUGUCCACCCUGCCUAUUGCUGUGGCCCCAGUGGUGUGCUGAGGUUCCCUGCCAUCAGAGAUGCCAUCAGAGAUGAUGGGGAUGGGCUGAAGCCAUGCCAGCGGGACCUUACCUAGGACCCAGCACUCACUCUUCUGGUUGGAGGCUUUGACUUCAUAGAUCCUGAAAACCUGUCCUCAGCCCCAGGCAUCACACAGCAAGGAGCAACCGGACUGGAAGCCAUUUCCUCUUUGCUUUAACUCCUUUAUCUCACAGACACUGGGGCGCCUGCUCAUGUCCCUCUGUCCAUCCCC
rnacentral:lncRNA from 1 species